rnacentral:rRNA from 1 species
AUGAACUUGGCCCUAUUAGCUUCUUGGAUUAGUAGAUACUACAACUCCGAGGGCAAAAUUUGGAAUAAUAUCAUUGACUCCAAAUAUAACCCUCAGAACAGUAACAUUUUUGCUUGUUCUGCUAUUGGAGCCUCCCCUUUCUGGAAAGGGGUGAUCUGGGCAGCACAAGCUGCCAAACUUGGCUUCUCUUGGAAGGUUAGUAAUGGCAAGAGGACUCGGUUCUUGGAGGACCAUUGGUUUGGCAAUGCUACUUUGGCUACCCAAUAUUGGGAUCUAUACAACUUAGCUAAUGAACAUAAUGCCACUUUUGAUAAAAUUUGGGAUGGCCAUAACCUGAAGCUUACUUUUAGAAGAUGUUUUACUAAAGAGCAGGUAGCUCUUUGGUUUGAACUUGUAGAAAUUGCUAGUUCCAUUUGUUUGGUAGAUGAGGAUGACUCCCCUGUUUGGAAUCUGAAUUCUAAAGGGGUUUAUACAGUCAAUUCUUUCUAUAAGUUCAUUAAUUUCAGGGGGUCUUGCCUGCUACUUCUCCUGCUGUUUGGAAACUUAAACCCCCCCUAG